AUGGCCGGAAUCGACGACGGCGGGGCCGCCGCGCAGCUGGUGCAGAAGCUGAUAAUCUGUGGAGUUGCAGAAGAGCAGACACAUCAAGAAGGCUUGCUCAUGUAUUUGGAGGAGCACAAGGAUAAGAUUCCUGAGAUCACUGCGGCCAUCUUGUCAGCAGGCACUGAUUUAAUGGAGUCGCCGAAGAAGGAUGAAGACGGCAGCAGAAGCAGCACCAACGCAUACAGUGAGAGCCUGUUGUGGCUGCAGUGGAUGAUGUUCGGCAAAAAUCCAGAUGCAAUGCUUCAUGACAUGGAGCUUAGCUCUGAGGAUGACCGCGCUGUCUGCGGGACUGUCUGGGGGCAGAAUGGCGUUGCUUACCGUUGCCGGACCUGCGAGAGUGACCCCACAUGCGUGAUUUGUGUUCCGUGCUUCCAGAAUGGUAAUCACAAGGAUCAUGAUUACUCCAUCCUUGAAACAGGUGGUGGGUGUUGUGAUUGUGGGGAUGCUACUGCUUGGAAGCCUCAAGGGUUCUGCACGAGGCACAAGGGGGCUGAACAAAUUAAGCCUCUUACCGAGGAGCUUGCGAGUUCCGUAGGGCCUGUGUUGGACGAGCUGUUGCUGUUCUGGAAGGAGAGGAUUUGCAUUCCUCGUGAAAAGGCUGACGAUUGCAAGAAGAGGGUUGCCCAAGAGUUGACGAUUUCUAUUGCUGACAUGCUUCUUCGCUUCUGCGCAUGCAGUGAAAGCCUUCUAAGUUUUGUGUCCCAAAGGAUCCAUGAGUCCCCUGGUCUCUUGGAUGCAUUGAUGAGGGCAGAGAGGAUACUGGACAAGAAAGUUGUGAACAAAUUGCAUGAGUUGCUUUUGAAGCUUAUCGCUGAACCGGCUUUUAAGUGUGAGUUUGCCAAAGUUUUUAUUCAGUACUACCCUGUUGCAUUUUCUGAAGUUAUUAAAGGGGGCAACGACAAUGUUCUGGAGGAGUAUCCACUGAUACCAGCCUUUUCUGUCCAAAUAUUUACCGUGCCUACGCUGACUACAAGGCUUGUGCGCGAGCACAAUUUGUUGGGUACUCUUCUUGAAUGUUUGACAGCUCUGUUUCUUUCUUGUGUUGGUGAGGAUGGCCGUUUACAGACGAGCAAAUGGGUAAAUUUGUAUGAUGCUUCUUUUAAAUUAUUGGAAGAUGCACGCUAUGUCCUGAGACAUGAGGAGGUUUCUACAUAUGUUGCUUCUGAGAGGCCUGAUCUAACAAGUUCAUGGGUUAAGCUGUUGUUACUUGUGCAAGGAAUGGAUCCUCACAAGAGAGUGACGAGUAUCCCUGCUGAAGGUGAGAAUGAGAAUCUAUCUGCGCCUUUCAUGCUAGGGCAUUAUCUUGGGAUCAUUCAGAAUCUUUUGCUGAAGGGAGCAUUAUCUUCUCCUGGGCAACAAGAGUCAACAAAUGUUACUGCAUGCUCCACCGCGACAAAAGGCAUGGAAAGUGCCAAGAACCAGCGGCUUGCAAAAGUUGGAAGGGUCUCCCAUGAGAACUCGGUAUGCACUUUGAGUGAUUCGAGCAGUGAGAUACCAUCACCUGCUGCCUGCUUAAUUCGUCAGUGCUUGAAAGCUAUUGGUAGCUGGCUGGAACUGACUGGUGAUUUGGGCGUGAAGGUAAAUGAAGGAUCCCAACUAGAUAAUGUUGCAGAUUAUUAUGAACUAAUUGGUCCUCCUAUUCAAGAGUCAGGCAACAUGUUGCUGAUAGGUCAAGGGGGGAUGCCUCAGGUUGGUAACAUCACAGGAAGGGGAAAGAUGCAAGAAACUAGCAGUGUUGUUACUCUGACUGGUGGCAACCUUUUAUAUGCCCACCCACAUUCAGGAACUGAUGAACUAGGUCUAUUCAGUAAGACAGGUUGGCAUCAUGCUGUCUUUGAUGUCAGUUCACAAGAAACGUCUUUUCAUAUCCCUUUACACCGUAUGCUUUCAUUACUAUUGCGGGAAGCAAUGAAGAAAUGUUUCGGAGAGGAUGCCAAAACAGAGGAAUGUUCAGUUGUGCAGUCCAAUGAGUUCUUUUCUCAGGUACUUGGAGGUUGUGAGCCUUAUGCGUUUGCUUCAGUUGUGAUGGAGCAUCCAUUAAGAGUGAGAGUAUUUUGCGCACAAGUGCGUGCCGGGAUGUGGCGUAAGAAUGGUGAUGCAGCUAUACUAAGUGCUGAGUGGUACCGCUCUGUGCAAUGGUUUGAACAGGGCUUGGAGUCGGAUUUGUUUCUGCUUCAAUGCUGUGGUGCAUUAUCUUCUCCAGAGUUCUUUAUGAGGACCAUUCAAGAAAGAUUUGGUUUGUCAGAUUAUACAUCUCUGGAUCUCACUCAACAGAAUGAGUAUGAGUCGGUUCUUAUACAAGAUAUGCUAACUUUUAUUGUGCAACUAGUCAAAGAACGCAGAUUUUGUGGGUGUUCCAUAGCAGACAACUUGAAGAGAGAAUUGAUUUAUAAAUUGGCUGUUGGAGAUGCCACCCAUAGCCAGAUUGUGAGGUCUCUUCCCCAUGACCUUUCGUCAAGAGAACAAUUUGAAGAUGUUCUAGAUUCAGUCGCAGUUUGUUCUGAUCCAUCUGGAAAGAAAAAGGGCAAGUAUGUGCUUCGCGAAGCAUUCUGGAAGGAAUUGGACUUGUAUCACCCGCGCUGGAGUCCCAGGGAAUUGCAGAUUGCUAAAGAGAGAUAUUACCGUUUUUGCAAAGUUUCUGCUCUUGGCGCUCAACUACCUCAAUGGACUCAUGUUUUUAGCCCUCUGCGCAGUAUUUCUAAGAUUGCCACCUCCAAAGCUGUCCUUCAAAUUGUUCGUGCUGUUCUCUUCUAUGCUGUUUACACCGACGCAUCAUCGGUAUCACGUGCCCCUAGCAAUGUUCUUGUGACUGGUCUGCACCUGCUUUCGUUGGCACUUGACAUAUGUGAAGCAGAGUCUCAAAUUUCUGCGGACCAGUAUGGGAUGGACUUACUGCAGCAUGAUGAUGAAUCGUGGGUUGUUCUGUCAUCGGAUGCAGAAGAGGCUUUUCCCAUAUUGACCUACUCUACAGAACUAGUCUCCCCAGAGUCUGACAAGCUAAAGAAGGAUAGCAUGCUAACCUUGCUUGUCUCACUGAUGCACAAGGAAAAGAAUGGCAGCACCUUUUCUGGAUGCAAUAUUCCGUCUCUAGCUGAGAGUUUGUUACAGAGAUUUGCCAAGCUAAGUAAGCAGUGCAUGUCUGCAGUAAGACAAAUGGCACCACAAGUACUCCCAUCCAUUCCAGAUCAUGCCAGCGCCAAACAGAAUUUAGGAUCUCCAGAUUCGACGGGAAAACGCCGAUGCGAAGCUGCAAUCAUGGCAAAAAUGGGAGCAGAGCAGUCAAAACCUGCUGAAAGUAUAAAGUCCUCAGGAAAUGAAGGGCGUGAUGUUCCAGCAUUUGAGCCAGAUGCGCCCAAAUCAACUGCCGUUGAGACGCGACCAGUUUGCUCUCUGUGCCAAGAUUCGGAUUCCAAAAGUCCACUCUGCUGUUUGAUUCGUCUUCAGACUGCUAUGGAAACUAUGAUGGCAGACACUGUUGAAGAUGGUCAGACCCCAAGAUCAGUUGCAGAGUUCGCUUCCAAGCUACUCUCCCAUGCCAGCUCCAUAGGCUCGUCGAAGUCGCCAGCUGUUCAAGUUCUUGAGGAUAAACUCGAGGUAGAAAGACGGGGUGCAGCUGCUCUCCGGGAAGAAAUCAGCACCCUGAAGAAGCGAGCAGAAAAGGCUGAUGCGAUCAUCGCGAAAACCCAACAGGAGAUGGAGGAAGUCGGGAAGAAGCAAGCCGAGACUGACCAGAUUCUUCAGCUUCUCCUGCGCAGGUCUCAGGGUAACCCCGCUUCUUAG
rnacentral:rRNA from 1 species